rnacentral:rRNA from 1 species
UACGUAGGGUGCGAGCGUUGUCCGGAAUUAUUGGGCGUAAAGGGCUCGUAGGCGGUCUGUUGCGUCGGGAGUGAAAUCUUACAGCUUAACUGUGAACUUGCUUUCGAUACGGGCAGACUUGAGGUAUUCAGGGGAGAACGGAAUUCCUGGUGUAGCGGUGAAAUGCGCAGAUAUCAGGAAGAACACCCGUGGCGAAGGCGGCUCUCUGGGACGGUACUGACGCUGAGACGCGAAAGCGUGGGGAGCGAACAGG